GAGCCACUCGCAAUGUAAAAUGUUGUUUUUUUCCCUCAUAUUUAUGAGAACAACAGCACGUUCCUUCUGCGUGGGGCUGAAGGUCACGCCGGGGUCACGGUGGGGCUAGCUAACGUCAGCUAACGGCCAUCAUGCAGGGUGACACGACACGAGCACGAGACGAGCUCGAGGGCCCCACGAAACGACGACAUGGAGCAAAUAUUAAACACGUGCACCCACCCACGUGUGGCGCGUGAAAAACAAGAAUUGUUUACUAACUUUUGACGAGGACUCUGCGAAACUCUGACGUCAUCGACCCGACAGGAACCCGCUGCUGCUGCUGCUGCAUCCAGACGACACGCUUCUAAAAGGGAGCCACAGCCAGCUGCUCAGAUGAAGUAACUGGCCGCGUCAGCAAGACGAAUUCAUUCUCGACGCGACAAUGGUUUCCUAUGGAGACGAAGGGAUGGCGAUUGGACGAGCGAGGGUUAAAAGCGAGCGCUGCAGGAGGAGAGAGAGAGUCACUGGAGGACUUGCUAAUUAGGCAGCGGCAACACGAGCCUCAUCUGCAUGCGGGGUAUGCAAAUUGACCGGCUGGCUCUUUCUUUUUGUCCCGGAUCAGAAGGCGAGAGCUGCAGAGAAGAAUUAAGAGCCAUUAUUCUACCCAAGGAGAGGCUGAUGUAUGCAGAAGAGGGGGAUGAGGAUGAGAGGAAAGAACACUUUUACCACAGAGAUGUACAAUGGACUCCACUGGAAAGGAGAGUCAAAUACAAUCACACAAACGCACUCUUAUUCUCUCGCACAGCCUGGAAGAUCCUUCUACAUUUGAGGUGGAAAUUGCGAAAGAGAAAACGGCAAUCACGCACCUUUAUUUGCCGUUAUGCCUAUCUCCACAUAUCGAUAGGCUGCUUUGUGGAUGAUAAUUACCUUUUGGAAUAUCGAAUCCCGAAAACGAGCCACGGAAACGAAGGAACAAGAAGAAAGGACAGAAAAAAGAGCGGAGGUAUGCAAAGGCGCUAAUGAUAUUCACAGCGCCGCGUGUGUCAUCUGCAUGAUGACAACGGCCAAUUAUAAUGAACCAUUGGCUCUCUGACAUAGAUAAGUAGGAGAGAAAAGGAUAUGGGUGAAAAGGAGCGCGAAAAAAAAAAAAAAACUUCUGCGAUCCUUCUUAAUUUGCCGCUGAUAUUUUCAGAUUUCGUGUCGUGUGGAUUUACAGUGACGAUACAUCUUGAAAAAAAAAAGACAACCUCUCCUCGCACUGUCCCAUAAAUGGAAUAAAAAGGCCACAGAAGAUGAGGGCGUCCCUCCACGCAGGAUUUAUGGCUGCUCGUGGUGGUAUUCCAUCGCCAUGUUGUUGGUCAACGGGACUGGUUCUGAUGGCACCUGUUCCCGUGCCAACCAUCGCUCUGACGAGCCAAAGAAUCUGUUGGAAAUCACACCCACUAGGACGAGCGUACACACACACACACACACACACACACGGCGGCAUCUUUCUGUCGACUCCCCUUCCUCAUCACACUACAAAAUGCCUCCCCAUCACCGUUUUGCAUAUUCGCAUGGCGCCCCGCCUGCCACAAAGGACUAAACAGCCGUAUGCAAAACAGUCUGGUAUCCCCACUUACAUAGCGAUGAGACGAACAGCGUGAG
ensembl:lncRNA